rnacentral:lncRNA from 1 species
AGAUACCCUCAAAGCCGUCGAUGGAUAAGCUCCUUGGACCCCAGUGACCUAUUUCUAUUACAAACCGCAACAGAGUAAUAAUAUUGAAAUCCAGAUUCCAGAGAUUGGAGCUCACAAGCAAUGGUGUCGAAUCUGUGUUACAGGUCUCCUCCUCUCACUCGUCUUAUAAAUACCUCUCGACCAAUUCAUCUCAUCAAAUCAAACCUUUCCUCUCCGCCUAGCCGGAUCAACCUGUUGAAGCAAACUCACACGACUUCUGGUACUAUUCUAUUCUCCGCUAUUGAUUAAUUCAUUCGGUUUCAGUAAUUCAGUUUUGAUUUCCAAGAACGGAAACCUGACGUUGAGUUUUGAUUUCUUUUUCAUGCUUCAGAAUUCGUAGACAUCCCUGCAAUAAUCGAGCAUUUCCAUUAUUGGCCUUCCAGGUACGUGAAAAUUAACCAAACUCAUUGAAAGAUUUUAGAUUGAGAUUGUUUCGAUAUAGAGAUUUACAGUUUUGUAUCGGAAUUUGCAGAGAACUGAGAAGCCUUUACCUACAAGAAAACCAUUACACGAGCAAGAGAAGGACAUCCCGAUGACGAUUAAGCCGGCGGUUCGAGUUUCCGACGGGAAGCUGAUCGUGAACAACCGGACGAUUCUGACCGGAGUACCAGACAAUGUCACCGUCACGUCCGGCUCCGCG